GUCCACGCUGUAAACGAUGGAUGCUAGCCGUCAGCAAGCAUGCUUGUUGGUGGCGCAGCUAACGCAUUAAGCAUCCCGCCUGGGGAGUACGGCCGCAAGGUUAAAACUCAAAGGAAUUGACGGGGGCCCGCACAAGCGGUGGAGCAUGUGGUUUAAUUCGACGCAACGCGAAGAACCUUACCAGCCCUUGACAUGCCCGGACGGUUUCCAGAGAUGGAUUCCUCCUAGCAAUAGGUCGGGACACAGGUGCUGCAUGGCUGUCGU
rnacentral:rRNA from 1 species